AGAGUUUGAUCCUGGCUCAGAUUGAACGCUGGCGGCAGGCCUAACACAUGCAAGUCGAGCGGCAGCGGAAAGUAGCUUGCUACUUUGCCGGCGAGCGGCGGACGGGUGAGUAACACGUAAGUAACCUGCCCUAGAGACUGGGAUAACUAUUGGAAACGAUAGCUAAUACCGGAUAGGUAACUAGUAGGCAUCUAUUAGUUAUUAAAGUUGGGUUGCAACACUCUAGGAUGGACCUGCGGUGUAUUAGCUAGUUGGUGAGGUAAUGGCUCACCAAGGCGACGAUACAUAGCCGACCUGAGAGGGUGACCGGCCACAUUGGGACUGAGACACGGCCCAGACUCCUACGGGAGGCAGCAGUAGGGAAUUUUCGGCAAUGGGGGAAACCCUGACCGAGCAAUGCCGCGUGAGUGAUGAAGGAUUUCGGUCUGUAAAGCUCUGUUGUAAGGGAAAAAGGAUGUUAAUAGGGAAUGAUUAAUAUUUGAUGGUACCUUACCAGAAAGCCACGGCUAACUACGUGCCAGCCGCCGCGGUAAUUC
rnacentral:rRNA from 1 species